rnacentral:rRNA from 1 species
AGAACGAACGCUGGCGGCAUGCCUAAUACAUGCAAGUCGAACGAACACUUCGGUGUUAGUGGCGCACGGGUGCGUAACGCGUGGGAAUCUGCCCUUGGGUUCGGAAUAACAGUUGGAAACGACUGCUAAUACCGGAUGAUAUCGAAAGAUCAAAGAUUUAUCGCCCAGGGAUGAGCCCGCGUAGGAUUAGCUAGUUGGUGGGGUAAAGGCUCACCAAGGCGACGAUCCUUAGCUGGUCUGAGAGGAUGAUCAGCCACGCUGGGACUGAGACACGGCCCAGACCUCCUACGGGAGCAGCAGUAGGAUAGUGGACAUGGC